AGCUGCGUGGCUUAGUGGAAAGAGCCCGGACUUGGGAGUCGGAGGUCGUGGGUUCUAAUCCCGCCUCCGUCA
rnacentral:tRNA from 1 species